GACGAACGCUGGCGGCGUGCCUAACACAUGCAAGUCGAACGGAGAUACGAUUUCGGUUGUAUCUUAGUGGCGAACGGGUGAGUAACGCGUGAGCAACCUGACUCUCAGAGGGGGAUAACACUCGGAAACGGGUGCUAAUACCGCAUAAGACCACGACAUGGCAUCAUGACGAGGUCAAAGGAGCAAUCCGCUGAGAGAGGGGCUCGCGUCCCAUUAGAUAGAUGGCGGGGUAACGGCCCACCAUGUCAGCGAUGGGUAGCCGAGCUGAGAGGCUGAUCGGCCACACUGGAACUGAGACACGGCCCAGACUCCUACGGGAGGCAGCAGUGGGGAAUAUUGGGCAAUGGGCGCAAGCCUGACCCAGCAACGCCGCGUGAGGGAAGAAGGCUUUCGGGUGUAAACCUCUGUCCUUGGUGACGAAAAAAUGACGGUAGCCAAGGAGGAAGCCCCGGCUAACUACGUG
rnacentral:rRNA from 1 species